rnacentral:rRNA from 1 species
AUGGAUCUACUACCGCCGGCGUCGGAGGCGCCGGCCGGUGGCGGCGCAGUUGGGGGCCGAGGGAUGCGACGCGGGGUCGGGUUCCGGUCGCUCAAGCUGGUGAACGUGUCCAUGGAAGAGGCCCUCCCAGCCGAGCCCGUCGGCGUCGCCUACGGCCGCCUCGCCAACGGACUCACCUACUACGUCCGCUCCAAUCCCAAACCCCGCAUGCGCGCAGCCCUCUCCCUCGCCGUCAAGGUCGGGUCGGUGGUGGAGGAGGAGGACGAGCGCGGGGUGGCGCAUAUCGUCGAGCACCUCGCCUUCAGCGCAACGUCACGCUACACCAAUCACGACAUCGUUAGGUUCCUCGAGAGCAUUGGCGCAGAGUUUGGCGCCUGCCAGAACGCUCUCACUUCCUCUGACGAAACCAUCUAUGAGCUGCUCGUGCCUGUGGACAAGCCCGGACUGCUCUCCCAGGCAAUCUCCGUCCUCGCUGAGUUCAGCUCCGAGGUUCGGGUUUCAGCGGAGGAUCUGGAGAAAGAAAGGGGUGCUGUGCUGGAGGAAUACAGGGGCGGGCGCAACGCCACUGGGCGGAUGCAGGACUCCCACUGGACAUUGUUGUUUGAGGGUUCUAAGUAUGCAGAACGUUUGCCGAUAGGUACAGAGAAGGUGAUACGGACUGUUACACAUGAGACAGUUAGAAAUUUUUAUCAUAAGUGGUACAAUCUAAGCAAUAUGGCUGUCUUUGCAGUGGGAGACUUCCCAGAUACACAGGCUGUUGUUGAGUUAAUAAAGGAGCAUUUUGGCCAGAAAGCCUCAAUUUCCUGCCCUCCACCGGUUAUACCGGAGUUUCCAGUUCCAUCGCAUAUUGAACCUCGAUUUUCAUGCUUUGUGGAAUCCGAAGCUGCAGGGUCAGCUGUUGUUAUUAGCUGCAAGAUGCCUGCCGGUGAAAUUAAAACAGUCAAGGAUUAUAGGGACUCAUUGGCAGAAUCAAUUUUCCAUUGUGCUCUGAACCAGAGGCUCUUCAAACUAUCUCGUAGGAGGGAUCCUCCAUACUUCUCUUGCUCUUCAGCUGCAGAUGCUCUUGUCCGUCCGGUGAAGGCAUAUAUUAUGACAUCCAGUUGUCGCGAAAAAGGCACGGUUGAGGCUCUUGAGUCUAUGCUAGUUGAGGUUGCUAGGGCACGGCUCUAUGGGUUUUCUGAACGUGAGAUAUCCAUUGUGCGUGCUUUAAUGAUGUCAGAGAUCGAGUCUGCAUAUCUGGAGCGUGAUCAAAUGCAAUCAACCAGCUUACGUGAUGAGUAUCUGCAGCAUUUUCUUCGCGAGGAGCCUGUUGUCGGGAUUGACUAUGAAGCACGGUUGCAGAAGACUCUUCUUCCAUACAUUUCUUCUGCUGAAGUGGUGAAGUUUGCGGAAAACUUUUCAACAACCAGUAGCUGUGUUAUCAAGAUAGUUGAGCCCCGGGCCCAUGCUUCUUUGGAGGAUCUGAAAGCUGUUGUAUUGAAAGUUAACACUCUAGAAGAAAAGAGGAGUAUUCCUCCCUGGGAGGAAGAGCAAAUCCCUGAAGAAAUUGUUAGCCAAAGUCCAGUGCCAGGAAUUAUUGUUGAUAAAGUGGAGCACCCAGGCAUAGGUGCCACUGAGAUGAUACUAUCUAAUGGGAUGCGAGUUUGCUACAAGUGUACUGACUUUCUUGAUGAUCAGGUUGUUUUUACUGGGUUUGCCUAUGGUGGUCUGUCCGAAUUAUCUGAAGAUGAAUAUACUUCAUGCACAAUGGGCUCGACAAUAGCAGGAGAAAUUGGUAUUUUUGGCUACAGACCUUCUGUCUUGAUGGACAUGCUUGCUGGCAAGAGAGCUGAAGUUGGUACAAAAGUUGGGGCGUACAUCAGAUCAUUUUCUGGCGAUUGUUCACCUUCAGAUCUUGAGACUGGUUUACAGCUUGUCUACCAACUAUUUACAACAAAGGUGGAGCCAAGGGAGGAAGAAGUAAAAAUAGUCAUGCAAAUGGCGGAGGAAGCUAUCUAUGCUCAGGAAAGAGAUCCUUACACUGCAUUUGCAAAUCGUUCACGGGAAAUAAAUUAUGGGAACUCCUACUUCUUUAAGCCAAUUAGAAUAAGUGAUUUGAAGAAAGUGAAUCCAAUCAGAGCAUGUGAAUAUUUCAACAGUUGCUUCAAGGAUCCAUCAGCUUUUACCGUUGUAGUAGUUGGAAACAUAGACCCAGCCAUCUCAAUCCCACUGAUUUUGGAGUACCUGGGUGGGAUACCGAAGGUACAGGAUACAGUUCAGCCACUUAGUCGUGAGGAUCUAAAGGGAUUGCCCUUCAAGUUUCCGGAAACCAUAAUUAGAGAAGUUGUCCGCAGCCCUAUGGUUGAAGCUCAGUGCUUCGUCCAACUAGGGUUUCCAGUGGUUCUAAAGAGCACAAUGAUGACGGAGGAUAUUCACUAUGUCGGAUUUCUAAGUAAACUUCUCGAAACAAAAAUCAUGCAAGUACUCCGCUUCAAAUAUGGACAGGUCUACUCAGUUAAUGUAGGUGUCUUCUUAGGUGGCAACAAACCUUCUAGAAGUGGAGAUGUUCGUGGAGACAUAAGUGUGAAUUUCUCAUGCGAUCCAGACAUGUCAUCUAGGCUUGUUGAUUUUGUUCUGGAAGAGAUAUCAUAUCUACAGACAGAAGGCCCUUCUGAAGAAGAUGUAUGGACCAUCCUAGAAAUUGAACAAAGAGCACAUGAAAACGGAUUGCAGGAAAAUUAUUACUGGUUGGAUCGAAUUCUGCGGAGCUAUCAAUCAAGGAUUUAUUCAGGAAAUGUUGGAUCCACCUUCAUGGUUCAAGAUGAGGGACGUGUAAAAGUUAGAGAAGCUUUGACACCACAGGCCAUGCAAAUGGCCUUGCGAAGGGUGAUAUCUUUCCCAUGUAAAAAGCAAUUCACGGUAGUAAUUCUUAUGCCUAAGUCAUCUCGUUGGAAUUCGUUGAUAUCGGUGGUUAGUUGGAGUUCUGGUGGAUUUAGCAGAGAUGCCAAGAUCUUGGCUGGCAUGGCUGGUGCACUGGUCUUAGCAGCCAGUUUGUGGAGAUACUCACGGGGUGCAUUGAGAUCGUAG